CCUACGGGUGUCAGCAGUGGGGAAUAUUGCACAAUGGGGGAAACCCUGAUGCAGCGACGCCGCGUGAGUGAAGAAGUAUUUCGGUAUGUAAAGCUCUGUCAGCAGGGAAGAAAAUGACGGUACCUGACCAAGAAGCCCCGGCUAACUACGUGGCAGCAGCCGCGGUAAUACGUAGGGGGCAAGCGUUAUCCGGAUUUACUGGGUGUAAAGGGAGCGUAGACGGCAGGGCAAGUCUGGAGUGAAAGGCGGGGGCUCAACCCCCGGACUGCUCUGGAAACUGCCAGGCUGGAGUGCAGGAGAGGUAAGUGGAAUUCCUAGUGUAGCGGUGAAAUGCGUAGAUAUUAGGAGGAACAUCAGUGGCGAAGGCGACUAUCUGGCACAUAACUGACGCUGAGGAGCGAAAGCGUGGGUAGCAAACAGGAUUAGAUACCCCUGUAGUC
rnacentral:rRNA from 1 species